GAGUUUGAUCCUGGCUCAGGAUGAACGCUAGCGGCAGGCUUAACACAUGCAAGUCGAGGGGGAACAUUGGAGCUUGCUUCAGAUGACGACCGGCGCACGUGAGUAACGCGUAUGCAACCUACCUCAAACACGGGGAUAGCUCAGGGAAACCUGGAUUAAUACCCCAUAAUAUUUAGAUUUGGCAUCAGAUUUAAAUUAAAACUCCGGUGGUUUGAGAUGGGCAUGCGUGACAUUAGCUAGUUGGUAAGGUAAUGGCUUACCAAGGCUACGAUGUCUAGGGGUUCUGAGAGGAUGAUCCCCCACACUGGUACUGAGACACGGACCAGACUCCUACGGGAGGCAGCAGUGAGGAAUAUUGGUCAAUGGGCGCAAGCCUGAACCAGCCAUCCCGCGUGUAGGAAGACUGCCCUAUGGGUUGUAAACUACUUUUAUAAAGGAAGAAACUCCCGCACGUGUGCGGGACUGACUGUACUUUACGAAUAAGCACCGGCUAACUCCGUGCCAGCAGCCGCGGUAAUACGGAGGGUGCAAGCGUUAUCCGGAUUUAUGGGGUUUAACGGGUGCGUAGCCGGGCCUUUAAGUCAGUGGUGAAAUCCUGCAGCUUAACUGUAGAAUUGCCAUUGAUACUGCUGACCUUGAGUUCGGUUGAAGUGGGCGGAAUAUGUAGUGUAGCGGUGAAAUGCAUAGAUAUUACAUAGAACACCUAUUGCGAAGGCAGCUCACUAAGCCGAUACUGACGCUCAGGGACGAAAGCGUGGGGAGCGAACAGGAUUAGAUACCCUGGUAGUCCACGCCGUAAACGAUGAUAACUCGCUGUUGGCAAUAUACCGUCAGCGGCCAAGCGAAAGCGUUAAGUUAUCCACCUGGGGAGUACGAUCGCAAGGUUGAAACUCAAAGGAAUUGACGGGGGCCCGCACAAGCGGUGGAGCAUGUGGUUUAAUUCGAUGAUACGCGAGGAACCUUACCUGGGCUUAAAUGCAGAGUGACAAUCCCCGAAAGGGGGCUUUCUUCGGACACUUUACAAGGUGCUGCAUGGUUGUCGUCAGCUCGUGCCGUGAGGUGUCGGGUUAAGUCCCAUAACGAGCGCAACCCCUACUCUUAGUUGCCAGCAUGUAAUGAUGGGGACUCUAAGAGAACUGCCUACGCAAGUAGAGAGGAAGGUGGGGAUGACGUCAAAUCAGCACGGCCCUUACGUCCAGGGCUACACACGUGCUACAAUGGCCGGUACAGAGGGCAGCCACCACGUGAGUGGGAGCGAAUCUCCAAAGCCGGUCUCAGUUCGGAUCGAAGUCUGCAACUCGACUUCGUGAAGCUGGAAUCGCUAGUAAUCGCGCAUCAGCCAUGGCGCGGUGAAUACGUUCCCGGGCCUUGUACACACCGCCCGUCAAGCCAUGGAAGUUGGGGGUACCUGAAGUCGGUAACCGUAAGGAGCCGCCUAGGGUAAAACUAGUAACUGGGGCUAAGUCGGAACAAGGUAACC
rnacentral:rRNA from 1 species